rnacentral:rRNA from 1 species
GCCUUGUAAUUGGAAUGAUGGGAAUUUAAACCUCUUCCAGAGUAUCAAUUGGAGGGCAAGUCUGGUGCCAGCAGCCGCGGUAAUUCCAGCUCCAAUAGCGUAUAUUAAAAUUGUUGCAGUUAAAAAGCUCGUAGUUGAAUUUCUGCUGCAUCGCGUCUUCUUUUUGAUGAGUUGGCGUAUUGCGGCUUUUUUCGGACGAUUUUUUUGUCCGGAUGAUUACUUUGAGAAAAUUAGAGUGCUCAAAGCAGGCUUUUGCCUUGAAUAGUUUAGCAUGGAAUAAUAAAGUAGGACUUUGGUUCUAUUUUGUUGGUUUUAGGUACCAAAGUAAUGGUUAAUAGGAACAGUUGGGGGCAUUCGUAUUUAACUGUCAGAGGUGAAAUUCUUAGAUUUGUUAAAGACGAACUACUGCGAAAGCAUUUGCCAAGGAUGUUUUCAUUAAUCAAGAACGAAAGUUAGGGGAUCGAAGACGAUCAGAUACCGUCGUAGUCCUAACCAUAAACUA